CAGCCGCCGCGGUAAUACCGGCGGCCCGAGUGGCGGUCCCUAUUAUUGGGCUUAAAGCGUCCGUAGCCGGGUUGGGAAGUCCUCCGGGAAAUCUGGCCGCUUAACGGUCAGAAUGCCGGAGGAUACUCCCAGCCUAGGGAGCGGGAGAGGCCGAGGGUAUUCCCGGAGUAGGGGGGAAAUCCUAUAAUCCCGGGAGGACCACCUGUGGCGAAGGCGCUCGGCUGGAACGCGUCCGACGGUGAGGGACGAAGGCCAGGGGAGCAAACCGGAUUAGAUACCCGGGUAGUCCUGGCUGUAAACGAUGCGGACUUUGUGUCGGACAAGCUAUGAGCUUGUCCGGUGCCGGAGGGAAACCGUUAAGUCCGCCGCCUGGGGAGUACGGCCGCAAGGCUGAAACUUAAAGGAAUUGGCGGG
rnacentral:rRNA from 1 species